GAUGAACGCUGGCGGCGUGCCUAAUACAUGCAAGUCGAGCGAACGGACGAGAAUCUUGCGGCGCUGAUGUUAGCGGAGGACGGGUGAGUAACACGUGUAUAACGUACCUGUAAUAGUGGUAUAACUUCGGGAAACCGGAUCUAAUACCGGAGAAUAUUUUGAACCGCAUGGUUCGAAAGUGAGAGACGGUCUUGCUGUCACGUAUAGAUGGAUCCGCGCUGCAUUAGCUAGUUGGUAAGGUAACGGCUUACCAAGGCAACGAGGCAUAGACGACCUGAGAGGGUGAUAGGCCACACUGGAACUGAGACACGGUCCAUACUCCUACGGUAGGCAGCAGUCGGGAAUCUUACGCAAAGGGGGAAAGCAUGACGGAGCAACGGCGAGUGAGUGAUGACGGUCUCCGGAUCGUAAAGCUCUGUUAUUAGGUAAGAACCGAUGUGUAAGUAACUGUGCACAGCGUGACGGUACCUAAUAAGAAAGCCCCGGCUAACUACGUG
rnacentral:rRNA from 1 species